AUUGAACGCUGGCGGCAUGCCUUACACAUGCAAGUCGAACGGCAGCACGGGAGCAAUCCUGGUGGCGAGUGGCGAACGGGUGAGUAAUAUAUCGGAACGUGCCCAGUCGUGGGGGAUAACGCAGCGAAAGCUGUGCUAAUACCGCAUACGAUCUAUGGCUGAAAGCGGGGGAUCGCAAGACCUCGCGCGAUGGGAGCGGCCGAUAUCAGAUUAGCUAGUUGGUGGGGUAAGGGCCCACCAAGGCGACGAUCUGUAGCUGGUCUGAGAGGACGACCAGCCACACUGGAACUGAGACACGGUCCAGACUCCUACGGGAGGCAGCAGUGGGGAAUUUUGGACAAUGGGCGCAAGCCUGAUCCAGCAAUGCCGCGUGCAGGAUGAAGGCCUUCGGGUUGUAAACUGCUUUUGUACGGAACGAAACGGUCUGCCCUAAUACGGUGGGCUAAUGACGGUACCGUAAGAAUAAGCACCGGCUAACUACGUGCCAGCCGCCGCGGUAA
rnacentral:rRNA from 1 species